UACAGAGGGUGCGAGCGUUAAUCGGAAUUACUGGGCGUAAAGCGCACGUAGGUGGCGACGUAAGUCGGGUGUGAAAGCCCCGGGCUCAACCUGGGAAUUGCAUUCGAGACUGCAUUGCUGGAGUACGGAAGAGGAGGGCGGAAUUCCCGGUGUAGCGGUGAAAUGCGUAGAUAUCUGGAGGAAUACCGGUGGCGAAGGCGGCAUCCUGGACCGGCAUUGACGCUGAGGAGCGAAAGCCAGGGGAGCAAACGGG
rnacentral:rRNA from 1 species